rnacentral:rRNA from 2 species
AGCAUAUCACUAAGCGGAGGAGAAGAAAACAACCGUGAUGCCCCUAGUAAUGGCGAAUGAAGCGGGCACAGCUCACGCCGCCAAUCUGGAGGCCCUCGCGGCCUCUCGAAUUGUAGUCUAGAAACGCGCCAUCGGCCGCGUCCGUCGCUAAAAUCCCUUGGAACAGGGUAUCGGAGAAGGUGAGAAUCCUGUGACGUGGCGGAUCGCGGCCGCACGAUGCGUGUUUGCAGAGUCGGGUUGCUUGGGAUUGCAGCUUGAAGUGGGAGGUAAAUUCCUUCUAAAGCUAAAUAUUGCAGCGAGACCGAUAGCGAACAAGUACCGUGAGGGAAAGAUGCAAAGAACUUUGAAAAGAGAGUUAAAGAGUGCUUGAAACCGACAAGGGGAAACCCGGUUGUGCCCGGUGUCGUGCAGUUGACUCAGCCUUUACGGGUGCACUUCUGCUGCGCGGGUCAGCCGCCGCUGCAUGCGAGGGAGAAUCGUCCGGGGGGCUUCGGUGAGCCGGUACCUACCUCGCUUGUGGCGCCGUCUGACGUAACGGGCACCACCGACCCGUCUUGA